rnacentral:rRNA from 1 species
CCUACGGGCGGCAGCAGUGAGGAAUAUUGGUCAAUGGGCGCGAGCCUGAACCAGCCAAGUAGCGUGAAGGAUGACUGCCCUACGGGUUGUAAACUUCUUUUAUAAAGGAAUAAAGUGAGGCACGUGUGCCUUUUUGUAUGUAAUUUAUGAAUAAGGAUCGGCUAACUCCGGUACAGCAGCCGCGGUAAUACGGAGGAUCCGAGCGUUAUCCGGAUUUAUUGGGGUUAAAGGGAGCGUAGAUGGGUUGGUAAGUCCGGUGUUAAAAUUUGGGGCUUAACCGUAAAAUUGCAAUUGAUACUGGCAGUCUUGAGUACAGUUGAGGUAGGCGGAAUUCGUGGUGUAGCGGUGAAAUGCAUAGAUAUCACGAAGAACUCCGAUUGCGAAGGCAGCUUACUAAACUGCCACUGACAUUGAUGCUCGAAAGUGUGGGUAUCAAACAGGAUUAGAUACCCCAGUAGUC